rnacentral:lncRNA from 1 species
AAGAAAGCACACCAUAUACUCCUUUCUGAUAAUGAGUAUACACUGAUCGUUAUUUCCAGUGUCAUAGGUAUAUACUCUGAGAAUAGUUGUAUAUAUCUGUUUUGAAAAUAUAGUAUGUAUAUACUCCUUGCAAACUACUCCAUAUCAUUUAAGCGUUUUUACAUAAGACUGUCCGUCUAGAUACAAUAACUAAUUAGUAUUUUAAUAACUUGAAUUGCAUGGCUUGAGCUCUGUGCUGGGGUCUUCUCUUAUGUAUGAGUGCACCAUGUGCGGAUUAAAUUUUUUGGGGUCUUCUAACUCUCUGGGACAAUUUGCAUCUUUAUUUGUGCUAAUUGGCAAGGUGCAUGAAUAAUGAUUUAUCUAGGGUUUUUGCUUAAUGGAAAGGCCUUUUCAGUUAAAAAAACCCUACUGAUUUGAUCAACAGAGCAUGCCUCUGUUUUUAAAUAGCAGUAGUUCCUUUGACCUUCUCCUUAUUUAAUUGACUAUUUUGGUCUCAAGAUCCAAUAGCCUUGCUGUUAGUUAAUGCUCUAUUUAUAUUUUCUUCCAACAAAACAAAUGUAUGUUUACAGGAAAAAAGUCGCCAUUUCCAGCAAAAACAAUGGCCUGCUGUCGCCAGGUCGCAACAAAAGUUUUGGCCGGUCCCAUAAGAAAAAUAGUUCCAGCAAAAAAAGAUUGUUGUUGCGGUCACAGGUACUAUAUGGUUUCACUCUACGCCUCUGUAGUUAUUUGGCUGAAGAUGUGCAUUACUGUUGGCUGUGAUAAUACAUAUAGUAAGAUUGCAUGUUAUACCAGCUUAGCAGAACUUCACGGAAAUUUGCUAGAGGAGUUGCAACAGCCUUGAUCAAAUAUUAUUUUCAUUAUUCCUUCUUGGUUUUAGACAAUAACAGUAGAUAAUCUUCAUCGAAAUUUGCUAGAGAAGUUGCAACAGCUUUGAUCAAAUAUUAUUUUUAUUAUUCCUUCUUGGCUUUAGACAAUAAAGUAGAGAACCAAAAUCCUUCUACUGUAUGUGUACCUGUAAUAGAGAAAAGUCACUCUGUCUUUAUCAUGCCAAUAGGCCAAUGUGCCCAGAAAUUAGACAACAGGGGGAAUUAGCUAGUCACCGGCUCUGAAAGCAUAAAAAACAAUUCAGUAUUUAGGCGACUACUCAAUUUUGAAGAGCUACUUCUUCAAAAAAGAUAGAUGCGUGAGCUUUUUCUAAACUGUAGGAUAUCAUAGUCUGCUCUGCUAGCUGUAAAUUGUAGGGGAUUAGUGUAGCUUAAUGCCGUUGUUGAACUGAGUUAGCAAGUAUAUGUUGCUUUUUGUUAGGAAAGUGAAAAAGAAACUCUUUGAUGUCGGGCCUAUCCCUGUGGCAGUGACAACUUUUUAAUUUACUCACAAGCAUCAAAUAUUUUGUGAUGAGAGAAGUUGGUGAGUACCUAAUAGGUUUGAGGCGCUAUUUUCAUUUGCUAUGCUCGACAACCAUGAAAAAGUUGGGAUUGCAGCAAUCAUGCUAAAUCUAUUCAAGUGUGUUAGUUUUACGCGGACGCGGCGAUUUGGUGCCCGAGCCCAGAUGCACCCGAAAUCGUCGGCGUCUGUUCGUGGCUUGGGAUACUCAAAAUUCGCUCUGACGCAUCUGACGCGGAGUGUGGGAAAAUGGGUGUGCGGUGGAAUACGGCAGCGAACAGUAGCGCAUUCGUGGGCACAGAACGUACGGGCGUCUGAGCCGUGGCUCAGAACUUGUACUGAUCCGUCUGGGAAACAUGUCGAGGGCUUCGGGACGGGGCGGUUUGACGAGCAAUGAGAUCGAGCGCUGGUGGGAGGUACCUCACGGUAAUGGCGGGCGCGGUGGAGCAGCGCUGGAUGCCGAUGGCAUGGAGUUCCUGCUGGAGCCAGGCUACCGGUGAGUUUCCCUCUGGAUUUUCGUGCUUCGAUGGAUUCCCCGCCGCCGCCACUUAUUCUGUUGUGGUUCCCACUCAUGGAGGAGUUCGCGGACAGCUUGAAGCAGCCAAAUCCGGACACUCUAGGGUUCCUCCGUCCAUCCAUGGCCACUGGGCUGCAUCGCCGCCGACGCCGUCGCCACCGCCCCAUCGCCGUCGACCCUGACGCCACCGCUGCUCUCUAGAUCUCAGUCUCGCCGGCGCUCCUCUCUGCCUUGGGCCCCUGUACUGGACAGCUGCUCGCCGGUGUGGUCUUUCUCCUGUACUGGACAGCUGCUCGCCGGUGUCGUCUUUCUCCUGUAUUGGUCGGCGGCAUCUCGUUCUCCUGUACUGGUCGGCAGCAUCUCGUUCUCCUGUACUGGUCGUCUGCACGAGAUCUCUAGUCCGGCAGCCUCCACCAGACACCACGGGUAACUAAUCCAGUUCCCUAAUCUUCUUUUCCAUGGAUUCAUGAUCCAGAGUGUUGAUGCUUGUUGUGAAAUUCCCAAUAUUUCUAUCAUGUUGAUCUUUAAUUGUUGGAACGUGCAAGUAUACUAUCUUCUCUUGGUUCGGUCCAAAAUCAUACAAGUAGAUUUAGACAGGUUCCUGUAACAUGUCAUUUGGACAUCAAUCAUACUCCCUCCGUCCCAAAAUAAAAGAUCAUUUUUUACAUUAACAUAGUGUCAAAAAUGAACUCUUAUUUUGGGAUGGAGAGAAUACUUGUUUCUUUGUCAGUAUCGUGUUAUUAGAUUAGCACAAGUUUCUUAAUUUCCAUGCAACGUUAUUGGAUAAUUUAUCUGUUAUUAGGAGGCAAAUCAGUGCAUAAGCACUUAUCUGGGCAUCACCAACAGUAUAGAAGCCAAUACUAUUUUCUUGUGCUUUCCGCAUCACAAUACAAUAAAAAUCUGGGAUACAAUAGGUUACAUCUUGAUGUUUUCUCUAGUAAUUAGUGGACAUAUUAAUCCUAAGCAUGUCCCUAUUAAAAUUACACUUGAAAAUAAAUGAUAAAUGCAGAGGGUAAAUUGUACAAUGAAGAUCAAAUUGGCCAUGGAGUGAUCAUACUUUCAUUCAUGAAAGAAGGCAAUGUUUUCCACUUCACAUCUAGUUAGAUUUUUAUAUCGACAAGAUUCUUUGCCGUUUUUUCAUGUCUACUACGCCCUCCUUCCCAUAAUAUAAGAAUGUUUUUUUACACUAGUGUGGUGUAAAAACACUCUUAUAUUAUGAGACAGAGGGAGUAGAUGAUAUCUGUUGGUCAGCUAUAUAUGCAUGCUUUUCUUUACAGUGGCCAAGUUAUGAUAGGGAAUGUUCAGAAUUUAUGCAUACGGAAUUGUAGCAUACCUGAACUUAAGAUGGCAACGGCACUAAAGGUAAAAGAAAUUGUAAGAUUGCCCAUUUGCAAAAAACAAAAAACCAAUCAAUCAGCAUCACAACUUGCUGCUACAUGAACUUUGAGUACUACUCUGCAGUAGGAUGCCCUUUUUGUCAUCAGAGGACAUACACAUGCAUAUAUUUACAGUUGCUGCUCGUCUGGCUGUGCCAUGGCUAGUUGAUAAAAGAAAGCAUGUGCAAAAUUAACACUCAUUAGCAACCAGUAAGAAGAGAGUGCAGGUGUUGUUGUUCUAGGUCCUUCAGUUUUUUCUUCUUCCUUGGUACUGAUGAGGGGUAAUAAUGCCUUACGAUCUCACAUAUUACCUAUCUCUUAACUUUUUCUCACACAUUUCCUUGUGUUGAUCCUUGUGCUCCAUGAGUCAAUUUCUACUAGAUUAUGUAAUCUGUUUACUGCUACAUGUCUUUGUUCAGUGCUCCAUGGUUGGAUGCACUUGGUAGUAGUACUAUACUAGGCUUCAGAUCAAUCAGUUUAGGAAUUUGGUAAAAAUUGCUUUUUUUGUUAAUUUUGAUUAAUUUUACCAACCUUGAUAAAUUUUCUUUUUUGUUAAGUUUGCUACUGGUAUUUCUCUGUGUCGUCAUGGCAGUUUGAAUUGACAUAUGCACUGAAUUGAAUUUACAUUUCCAAUCUGACAUGUUCUACAUCAUGCUUCUUUACUUCAAGGCAUGUGCUACACUUCAGCCGACUCAUUCGGAGGUAUUGUUGUAUGUGAAUUGGAAAUCAGAAGUUGCGAAGCGCCAUCAAUGCUGCUUUGGAGCAUCGCCGCUACUCCUGCCAUGCCGGCGAUUUGCAACAUGGCGGAUGUUGUGGUGACAGAUGCAGCAGAGAUGCCGCGGUGCCCCUCUGCUUUUCAACAUGUCGCAUGUUGCGCCAGGGUGCGGUGGUGGUGGUAGGUGCCGCCCUCCAGGAUGCAUCACUCCUCGCAGGAAUGGCUUACAGCGGUCGUUGCCAUGGCACUGCUUUGCAGCAUCAGUGGUGGUCGUGCUGGCUGGCAGAAUCGCGGUGGGCGAUGUCUGUGUGCGGGCCCACCAGGCAUGUGGCAAUUGCACGCGGCACUUGAUUCUACAUUAAAAAUUACUCCCUCCAUCCCGAAAAACAUGUCGUAGCACCGUUUUUACAAUUUACCCCUCGUUGUUUUCCUGACCAAACCCGCGGUCCUCUCUCUCCUUCCCCACUCUUCUUCGACGCCAGCCGAUUUGGUCGCGCCCGCCCCCGCCCACGGCCCCGCUGCCUUGCUUCCCCUCCCACCGCCCCACGCUGCUCCCCCCCCUCCCCGGCACCCCAUGCCUGCGCCUCGUUUCCCUCCCCUUCGCCCGCCGCAUCGUUCCCCUCUGCUACCACCCUUCAAGGUUCAAUUUUUGGAGACCAUUGUCCGGAGUCCUUGCACUCCUUCCGCAUCUGUCCAUAGUCGACCACCUCCUCGACUUGGACCACGAAGCUCGCCCCCUCCAUGGACGCCAUUGACCUGAGCACUAGAAAGCACGGGUGCCCCUUCUCCACUCCACGGACGGCUACGCGCUCAAGGUGGAGGAGCUCAUCGUGUUCAAAAAGGUGGAGGAGCUCACCGCCGAACUCGCCGGAGUGGUGCUCGUCGUCGGCCCCGCGCAUCCGGGCCCGCCGUCGCCGCCGCCAAAGACCACCUCUUCAAGGUAUCAGACGCGCCCACCAUUCUGCCAUUUCAGUUUUCAGAGAGACCAUAUGCAGGGCAUCAGAUGCAUAUCUAAUUUUGAAUUUCUGCUCUGUUUGUCAAACCACUUUCAGCUCUGUUUACUUUCAGCUCUGUUUGUCUCUCUCAGGGGUCGCAGGACCACCCGGGCCUGGUCACCAUCUCCAUGGAGGAGAUCCUGCAGUUCGCGGCGUCCAUCGGUGGCGCCAUCAGGACACCCACGUUGUCACACCCUCGAUGCGACUAUAGCUUCCACGUGUCGAGGCACGACUUAGAGGCAUAAUCGCAUUGAAGGCAUAUGUCGCAAGUUAGGCAAUCUUCACAACAUCCCAUGAUAAUAAUAAAGGGGAGAUAACAUAGUUGGCUUACACUCGCCACGUCAAUCAAGUACAUAAAUAACAUUACAUCAUCCAAACACUCAUGGCCCAACUACGGCGCCAAAAUAAAAGAGAACCCAACAUGCGACACGGUCCCAAUCACCCCCAACUGGGCACCACUACUGAUCAUUGGGAAAGGAAACAUAGUAACGUUGAGAGUCUUCGUCGAACUCCCACUUGAGCUCAUACGCGUCUCCUGGAGCGGAAUCAUCAGGCCCUGCAUCUGGUGUAAUAGUAAUCUGUGAGCCACAGGGACUCAGCAAUCUCGCACCCUCGCGAUCAAGACUAUUUAAGCUUAUAGGUAUGGCAAGGUAAAAAUAAGUGGAACUGCAGCAAGCGACUAGCAAGUAUGGUGGCUAACUUAUUAGCAAAAGGGAGCGAGAAGAGGAGGCAAAGCGCGAGUGUGAAACUAGAGAGCAACCUGCGCAAACAUUACUCCAACACCGUGUCCACUUCCCGGACUCCGCCGAGAAGAGGCCAUCAUGGUAACACACUCAGUUGAUUCAUUUUAAUUAAUUAAGGUUCAAGUUAUCUACAACCGGACAUUAACAAAUUCCCAUUUGCCCAUAACCGCGGGCACGGCUUUCGAAAGUUCAAUCCUUGCAGGGGAGUCCCAACUUAGCCCAUGACAAGCUCUCACGGUCAACGAAGGAAUAGACCUCCUCCCAAGACGUUCCGAUCAGACUCGGUAUCUCGGUAAUUCAAGACAACUCCGACAAUGGUAAAACAAGUCCAGCAACACCGCCCGCUGUGCCGACAAAUCCCGAUAGGAGCUGCACAUAUCUCGUUCUCAGGGCACACCGGAUAAGCUAAGCGUACGGGAGCNNNNNNNNNNNNNNNNNNNNNNNNNNNNNNNNNNNNNNNNNNNNNNNNNNNNNNNNNNNNNNNNNNNNNNNNNNNNNNNNNNNNNNNNNNNNNNNNNNNNNNNNNNNNNNNNNNNNNNNNNNNNNNNNNNNNNNNNNNNNNNNNNNNNNNNNNNNNNNNNNNNNNNNNNNNNNNNNNNNNNNNNNNNNNNNNNNNNNNNNNNNNNNNNNNNNNNNNNNNNNNNNNNNNNNNNNNNNNNNNNNNNNNNNNNNNNNNNNNNNNNNNNNNNNNNNNNNNNNNNNNNNNNNNNNNNNNNAACCCAAGUUGCCAAGGGACGGCCCCGCACGGUGCUCUAGGUUGGAGCAACACUCAGAGGAGCACUGGCCCGGGGGGGGGGGUGGGUGGGUUAAAAUAAUGAUGACCCUUGAGUCUGCGAAACCCAAGGGAAAAGGCUAGGUGGCAAAUGGUAAAACCAAGGUUGGGCAUUGCUGGAGGAGUUUUAUUCAAGGCGGACUGUCAAGGGGUUCCCAUUAUAACCCAACCGCGUAAGGAACGCAAAAUCCGGGAACAUAACACCGAUAUGACGAAAACUAAGGGCGGCAAGAGUGGAACAAAACACUAGGCGAGAGGCCGAGCCUUCCACCCUUUACCAAGUAUAUAGAUGCAUUAAGAUAACAAGAUAAUAUAAUGAUAUCCCAACAAGUAAAUAAAUGUUUCAACGAGGAACGGCCUCCAAUCUUCACCUGCAACUAGCAACGCUAUAAGAGAGGCUGAGCAAAGCGGUAACAUAGCCAAUCAACGGUUUGCUAGGACAAUGGUGCGUUAGAGGUUUGCCAUGGCAAUUUGGGAGGCUUGCAAGCAAAUGGUAGGCAUUGUAGCAAUGGCAUAGCAAAAGAGCGAGCAAACUAGCAUAGCAAAGAUAGUAGUGAUUUCGAGGGUAUGAUCAUCUUGCCUGCACAGUUGUCAGAGUUGACUGGAUCCUCGAAAGCAAGCUCAACGGGCUCCUCGUUAGCAAACUUGUCUCCCGGCUCUACCCAAACAAGACAAACAAGCAACAAGGACACAAUCAACCACGUGCAAACUCAAACAACACAAUGCAAAGAUGGUAUGUUAUGCGGGAUGCGAUGCGGGAUGCAAUAUGCAAGAUAUGACAGAAAAUGCAUGAACCUGGCCUCAACUUGGAAUUCCAAGUGUGCCACUGGAAAGAUGAGAUUAAAUCGUUUGAAAACGAUAUAAAGAACGCCGGAAUCAGAGUUACGGUUUGGAAAUGGCAAGCGAUUCAAAAAUGACACCGGUUUGCGAUUUUCAGCAAGUAGGCAUCUAAAUGCAAUGAGAUGAACAUGCUACAACACCCAAACAUGACACCAAAAUACAUGACAGGGAUGCUUAUAAGAUGCUUAACAAAAGUCUAGCACUGAGCUACGGCCAAUUCAUCCAUUAACAGGUUCAAACAAGCAUGGCAAAAAUGCAAAUGACAAACAGAUCUCAAACUUAGUGAAAUUAACACUUGUCUGGAAUUUCAGAUCAGGUAGUCCUCUUCGGAGCAACAAAACUACAUGCUACAGGAUCUUAACAUGGCAAAGUAAAGCAUGGCAUGGAGCUACUCAAAGAGCUUAAUAAAAGUCCCUUAGUGACCUUGAGCCAAAAAGGACCAGAAAAUACAAUUGCAAGCAUGUGAACAUAGCAAAAACAUAAUCAAUUUUCAGACUUGGUGAAAACUGGCACAUGCUGAAAUAUAACUCAAGUAGGCAUGUUUACGAGCUCGAUGCACUCACUAUGGUGCAAGUCAGGGCAAGACAAGCAUACAACUAACAAGAAGGCAUAAAAUGCAAGCUAGACAUGGCAAGAGCAAUAGCAUAGCAUGCACGGAUCAACUACAACAUCACCGGCAAAAUUGCAAACAAGUUGACAAUCUGCCCAGAUUCACAAAGUAGCAAAAGUAGAGCUCGAUUGACUCAAGCUAGGGUGCUCCAUAAUUGCAAACAAAGACAUGUAUGGAUAGAGCACUACAAGAUUAACAAAACAUCCUUACUGAUCAUCCUCAAAAGAGGCACGGAUCACUAGGAAACAACAUGAACAUAUGGCAUCAUGAGAUAAACAGCUCUAGGACUUAGCGAAAUCACCAAGUCCCUGAAAACAGAGUUACUAAGUGCACCACUUUGCAAGCUUGCACUAGACACCACACACAUCCUAAAAAUACAUGGGUUGCACCUCUGGAAAGAUGACAAAACCCUUAACAAAACACAAGUAGAGCAUCAGGGCAUAGCAUGCACACAUUAAUCAUGGCAAAAAUGACAAAAGUGCUAAACGGAGUAGCAGAUCUGACAAUUAUCUCAAGUAGCCCUCUUCUAGCAGCAUUUCGGGCAUCAAGAUGAGCUCAAAUGAAAAUGAUGCAAUGGAAUAAAAUGAUGUACUCUCUGAGAAGAACAUUUUGAUAUGCUAUAUGCAUGAAUCGGAGCUACGGAUGCAAAGUUACGGAGCCGUGAACAUGAGCACUUGAACUAAAAUUAUCAGGGACUUAGACGAAAUUUUACCCUCCAGAUCUAGGGUUUCGGCGGGCACAGGAACCGAGGUUCGCCGGCGACGGGCAGGGCGGCGGCCGGAGGGGGAGAUGGCCGGGGCGGCCUCCACGGCGCGGGGCGCCGGCGGCCGGGGCGGCGGCGAGACGGCAGCCGCGGCGCGGGGCGGCGCCCGCGUGCUGGCGNNNNNNNNNNNNNNNNNNNNNNNNNNNNNNNNNNNNNNNNNNNNNNNNNNNNNNNNNNNNNNNNNNNNNNNNNNNNNNNNNNNNNNNNNNNNNNNNNNNNNNNNNNNNNNNNNNNNNNNNNNNNNNNNNNNNNNNNNNNNNNNNNNNNNNNNNNNNNNNNNNNNNNNNNNNNNNNNNNNNNNNNNNNNNNNNNNNNNNNNNNNNNNNNNNNNNNNNNNNNNNNNNNNNNNNNNNNNNNNNNNNNNNNNNNNNNNNNNNNNNNNNNNNNNNNNNNNNNNNNNNNNNNNNNNNNNNNNNNNNNNNNNNNNNNNNNNNNNNNNNNNNNNNNNNNNNNNNNNNNGUGCAGAUCUUGUCCGGCGGCGCGCGAGGGGAUUUUUAGGGUUUCGGAGGUAGGAGGAGAUCCGAAAAUCGGGGGGUGUUUAAAUAGGCAUAGAGGGAGCUAGGAGAGUCCAAAUGAGGUGCGGUUUUCGGCCACGCGAUCGUGAUCGAACGAUCUAGAUGAUGGAGCAGAGUUUGGUGGGUUUUGGGCCAAAUUGGAGGGGUGUUGGGCUGCAACACACACGAGGCCUUUUCGGUCCCUCGGUUAACCGUUGGAGUAUCAAACGAAGUCCAAAUGAUACGAAACUUGACAGGCGGUCUACCGGUAGUAAACCAAGGCCGCUUGGCAAGUCUCGGUCCAAUCCGGAAAUGUUUAAUCCCCACACACGAAAGAAAGCUAGAAACGACCACGGGAGGAGAACGAAGCGCCGGAAUGCAAAACGGACAACGGAGAAAAUGCUCGAAUGCAUGAGACGAACACGUAUGCAAAUGCAAUGCACAUGAUGACAUGAUAUGAGAUGCAUGACAAUGACAACAACACACGGAGACAAAACCCGAACCCGAGGAAAUAAAUAUAACUUAACACCGGAAACGACAAGAGUUGGAAUACAAACUGGGAAAGUUACAUCCGGGGUGUUACACACGUCUUCGAUCUGCUGGAGCCCAAGGAGGAGGAGGUCCUGGUGCUGGAGGAUGCACAUGGCAAGACCAAUCUCAAGGGCCUCUCCAAGGUUUACUCUGCUCUAACAAAUCAGCCUCUUUUCAAAUUACACAGAGGAUUGCAGAAAAGUUAUGUUUGUUGUGUGUAUCACAAAUUCAGUUUUAGUUUCAGUGAAGUUUCUUGUCCUUUAGGUUUAUUCUUAUCAAAAACAAAUUCAACUAACCAGCCUCUAGAGCAUGUAGUUUCCCAAUAAUCUUAUCUAGCACUUCUGUGGAUUUGUUAAUAAGCAGGCACCGCAAUUUUGUAAGAUUAACAAUACUGGAUGGUAGCUCUUUUACACCAGCUGCCCUCAAAUCCAGCAUCUGCAGAUGGUGUAGUUCCCCGAACUUUUUUGGGAUCUCAGUAAUGUGACUGGUGCCUAUAACAAGAUACCUCAGCUUGCAACCCUUGAAACUUUGAAAGUGGUUGCAUCAAAUUAGCACAAUUAAAGAGGGAUAGUGAUCUCACUUGGCCCAUGAUCUUGGUUGCUUUUAGCACAACAUGUUGCUGAUUCCUGUUUUGAAAAGAUAAUCAUUCUACCUUGCUUGAGAGAUCUGUUUGUUGUAGGCUAGGUAUCUCACUAUCAUUGAAUAUCUUGUAGUUGUUCAAACAUUCUAAAAAAUAAUGAAAUGUAAAGACUUAGUUCUGCUGGCCUGAGGAUUAUAAUCAAAGACUAGCUUAACAAUUGAUGGAACAUGCCAAUUACACAUCAGUUUAUAGUCAGGAAAAAUAUGACAUGGUCUUACUUUCACUAGAUCAUUCAUCAGAGGCAAAUGGGGUCUUCCAAAGAUUGGAUGACAUAACUAGACAAGCAUAUAGAUUAGAAAAUGCCUUGUUUGCCAAGAGAUAAUCAAUCUCGGUAGGAAUGCAACAAGCAAGUGAUAUCAACAAGCAAGUGAUCUGACCAAGCCAACAAUGAAUAGUGAACAUUGGUAGAGUUUUGCUUGAUGUUAUACUGAUGUCCCAUUUUGAAACUGAAAAUUUGCAAGAGUUUUGCUUCAUUUUUUUCUAUUCACAGUACAAGUCCAAACCUGUAUUGAUAGUACAUGUUCUAUUUUUCUAUUGUUGAUCAGAUCCAUAUUUGGAUUAUAAGUUAGCCCAAAUUCAGUUUUAAUCCAAAUUAUUCGAAUAAAUUCAAAUAUUUUAAAUUAAUUCAAAUAACUAAAAUCAAUUCAAAUAAAUCCAAAUAACCCAAAUUAAUUCAAAUGAUCCAAAUUAAUCCAGUUAAUCUAAAUAACCCAGAUAAUUCAAUUAAUCCAAAUAACCUAAAUUCCAAUAAAUUCCAAUGAGGAGUUGAUAUACAAGGAUUAGACAAGGCAUACACAAGGACAUGGCAUAAGGGCCUCUUUGUCCCCUCUUGACACAAGAUUACACAAGACAUACACAAGGAGCACCUGACUACAUGACAUAAGGGCCUCUUUGUCCCCUCUUGACUACAUUCUUUUCCUUUCUCUGGCCACUUCUUCCCUUCCCUUCCCUUUACUUUUCUUUCUUUUCCCUUUUGUUGCUACUUCUUCCCUUCCGUUUACUUUUAUUUCUUUUUCCUUCUCUAGCUAAUUCUUUCCUUUCAUUUUCUUUUUCUAUUGCAAUUUCCAUUUCUUCUAUAGUGGCCCUAGUAUCAACAACUACCUGACUGUUGCAAUAUACACUGAUUAUUUUCAUUCCAGUAUUCUGAAAGCGUUUCUUGUGCAAGUGGGGCAACUUAUAUUGAUUUCCUCCUUUGUCUUUCAUAACUUCAAACAUAACUGCUUUUAAUGUGAUAAAGCUUCUGUGCAACUUGUCGGGAUCGUAGUUCUCGAAUUUCUCUUCCACACCCUGUACCAGUUCCUGGAUGUUUGUAGGUGACCUGCAGUCGGUUAGAGACUGGAGAGAGUUAUGGAAGCAGAGGUCCAAACAAUUUAACUCAGGGCUAUUUGGGGGCUGUUGUAGCAAUCGGAUGUCAAGAUCAGUUUGUUCCACAGCUUCUCGAAAAGCUACAUCAUUGGGAAGGACAUGAGGCUUUGCGUUAUCCUGUUGGAUGAAUAUUGUUGCUCCCUCAUUAUCAUCAGGCCACUUAUCCUGAAUUGCCGGGAUAACCUUAUUGAUUAGAUAAAUCUCUGCACAUAGGCCUGGUUACUUUCACUGAUGUCAACACUUUUGUUCCCUUUGUUCUGUUCUGACUUGUUCGCUUCGCCUCAGUCUCUUCAACAAAUGCCCAAAUGCCGAUCUUCCCAUCGAAUGUUAGCUCCCCCUCAUUGUUAUAUCGAGGCCUGGCAACAACUAUUAGGAACAUUACCUUCCCAAUGCUGUGAGUGUUUGACACGGUGCGCUUUGGUUCAGGUUCUCCUGAAAGUACAUAGUAACUAUUCUUCACUCUCGUCAUGUCAAACCACUUCUCAUCGAUGUGAACCAUAUUUGUCAUUGGUUUGAACAUAGCCCGAGAAGUUGAGAUCGAAUUGUCAUCGACCAUGGACAUACAAAAUUUCAAUCUCGCAAGCUUGUUCUCUAGCUUGAGGUGAGGCUUCAUGGUGCUUGUGAUGCGGUUAAGCUCAUUCAACUGGAACCUCUUAUGUAGGGUCGAUCGGGCCACACCUAGAGACCGUGCCAGAGAUCGAAUAGUCCUUCUUUUAUUCAGUGGGAUUGUUGAGGUCCUCGCUAGAUCUAGCUCCUUUCUCUUUCGGCCGGAUCUUCCUGGCUUCUUGCUUGAGACAUCUACUUCUUUGCCAUCGGCAAUUUGCUUUUUGGCGUCUUCCCAGAUUCUUUCAACAGAUUGUACACUUAUGUCCAACAGGUUUGAGACUAGCAGCUUGUCGUUUGGUUGAACAGACCCAUCUCUGAGCUCGAUUACCAGCAAGGCGAAGUAAACACCAUGCCUCUCCUUAUCUGACAAUUCUCUUCUUUUCUCUUGAAGUAUCCAAUCCAUAACUUCAUCCUCUUCCUCUUGAGCUUCAUCCUCUUGCCCUUCAUCUUCUUGAGGCAUCCAAUUCAUAGCUUCAUCGUCUUCGUCUUGAGGCAUCAAGUCCAAAUCCAUAGCUCCAUUAUCUGCCACUUGACGUUCCUCCUCUUCAGGGAUCCAAUUCAAAUUAUUACCUUCACCGUCUUCCUCUUGAGGCAUCAAGUUCAAAUCAAUAGCUUCAUAUUCUCCCUCUUGAGGCAUCAAGUUCAAAUCCAUAGUUAUGUGUUCCUGCCAUCAAUGACAAAAGAUGAGUACACCAUGGUACCAUAACAAGAAUACACACACACAAAAUGAGUAUGCAAGUCAAACAAGAAAUGCAUUUGCACUAGUCAAACAAGAAUGCACACACACACAGAGUAGUACUCCAUAGAUAUGAUCAUGAGUAGAUAUCUACAGUUUUAACAAUGCAUUUUAACUGAAUUUUCAGAUUAUGAUCAUGAGUAGAUAUGAUCAUGAGUAGUUAUUACUGGAGCCACCAUACAAACCAUACACAUGUCUAGAUUAAACAAAAAGUAUCAUGUUCAAGCCAAAUUUUGAAGAUUGCAAAUGAUCAUGACCAUGAUCAGCAGCAAUUUUGAAACCAAAAUUCAGUAAACAAAAUUCUAUCAGUCCUGUCAUUUAAAUUCCAAUAAUUUUAAUAAAUCCAAAUAAAUCAAAUAAUUUUGAGUUGAAUAUACAGUGCAUCUAAUGUACUGUAUGUGUAUGUGCUGUCUAGAUGCCAGCCAAAAUGACAAGAUGUUAUAGUUUGCUGUCACACCAGGGAUUGAGGCCAAAUACUUUGCUCUAACUAUAAGCCAUUUUACUCUAGUUUGGGGUAUUUUUUUUAGCUGUACCACAUGAUCAACAAUACACAAACUUUCAUUACUGAAAUUUCAAAAACCUAACAAUGGAGUUUGUGACCAUUUGCUUUCAUUACUUACUUACUUUCCCUUUCCUUUUUUUUCUUUUCCUAUUGCAAUUCAAAUGUUUCUACAGAUUUGCAUUUACUGUCUGGCAUUGCAUUUGGAUAGGAAUAUUUUUAAAUCUGUUCAUUUUCUGGUUGGAAUCUUUUUUGGCAUACAGUAUAACUACACAUGAAAGAAUCAAGUGUUGUUUUACCAGCCAAUGACAUCUAUGCAAGUCAGGUUCAUUAGCCUGACAGUUCUGGAGUACUUUAUCAACAUAUCAUGCAUCUACUGAAUUAUGCAUCGAUGCUUCAUAAGUGAGCACUUUAACGUUUCUAUUGGCUCUAAUUAUGAAUCCUUGGCUAGUUUUUGGGUCUCCAACAAUAAGAACUUUGUUUUAAACAUUGUUAGUUCAACUGACUAAUGAAUCCUAAAAACUGUCAGGUUUUGGUCUGCCAUGUCCCCAUAACAGAGCAAGAUGAAGAUAAAGAGCUUUAUAAAUUCGCUGAUGGCGUUCAUCCAGAGACACCUGUUGAUAAUCAGUGGCUGAAGGAGAAGCUCUUGGAAGACCCUGAGAUACCUUUCCCUGGAGAUUCCUGACACAAGUUCAAAUUCCCUGAUCCCUAUCAGUAGGUACUUGUGCUGAAUAUGACAUAAUUACAGUACACUGGCACAGAUUCGUCCACAUCCACUCCAUUGACUGACUGAAUUAUACAGUUUACACUUGACAAUGUUUGUUCAGAUCAUAAUUGCUCUGUUGAUAUCUACUGAUUUUUAUUCAAUUAACACUAAUCAUAUUCAAUUAACAUUGUUCUUCCUGAUGAACAGGAGCAGAGCAGCAACUCCCGUACACUGAUCAUAUUCAGCAUAGGGAGCAGAGGAGGAACUCCUUAGUGCAGGAGCAGAGGAGCAACUCCCGUACCUUCUUCCUCCUGAUGAGCAGGAGCUCUGGCGGCAGCACGGGCAGACGAGCAGCAGCAGCACCGUUGGUAGGGGAGAAGCAGCCGCACGGGCACGCGGGCAGGUGAGAAGGAGUUGCACGGGCUCACGUGGAAGAUUGAGGAGGACGCGCGGGAGAUUAAGGAGGGAGCGCGUGAGCUCCUGGUCCACCGGAUCGUGGAGGCAAUUUCCGACGACGCCCGUAGGGGAUCACGGCCGGGAGGAAUUGCGGUGGCGCACGCGCGGGAGCUCGAGGAGGAUGCGCUGGAGCUUGAGGAGGAUGCGCUGGAGCUUGAGGAGGAUGCGCAGGAGCUCGAGGUGGACACCGACGAGCUCGAGGAGGACAUGGCCGGAGGUCCUGACGAUGCCCGCAGGUAAUCGAGGCGGGAGGGGAUCGCGGCGACGCAGGUCUGAGCGGGGGAGGCGGCGGAGCAGGUACUUGGCGACGGUGGCGGUGGAGCAGGUACGUGGCGAUGGCGGCGGAGCACUUCCUGAUGGGCGGCGAGUCGCGCAGCUGGGCGGCGCCGGCCCCUAUCAACGACGAAGGAAGAAGACAGGGGGUAGAGGGGCUUGUUUCAGACGAUUUUAAAACUAUGAGUUUUUUUUUUGCAAAAUCACCAAUGAACUGCGCCCGCGACAUGUUUUUCCGGACGGAGGGAGUAUAAUGCAAAUUAUGUAAGUGGGAUGUGAACCGGGAAGAGCAAUGGUUGAAUUGUUGUCAGUGGAACGGUAAUGGGUGAACUGUAAGCAGUGACGUAUUGUGAACUGGAUGUGUAUUUGAUGCAUAAUUUCUUUGAAGUUGAACUGUGUAAUGAACUGAUGUACAGGGGUUGGGUAGAAAACGAAAAUGGUUUUGGGCGGGUUGGAUUCUAAAAAAAAGGUUUGAGGUGGUGUGAUAAUGUCAUUUAUUUCUACACAUGUUUGAAUUGGAUUUGUGGGUUGUAUGCCUUGGAUUUCAAAA